CGUGCAGGCGGGUUGGUAAGUCAGAUGUGAAAGCCCUGGGCUCAACCCAGGAAGUGCAUUUGAAACUGCCAUCCUUGAGUAUGGGAGAGGAGAGUGGAAUUCCCAAUGUAGAGGUGGAAUUCGUAGAUAUUGGGAGGAACACCCGUGGCGAAGGCGACUCUCUGGACCAAUACUGACGCUGAGACGCGAAAGCGUGGGGAGCAAACA
rnacentral:rRNA from 1 species